rnacentral:rRNA from 1 species
CCUACGGGAGGCAGCAGUGGGGAAUAUUGCACAAUGAGGGAAACCCAGAUGCAGCGACGCCGCGUGAGUGAAGAAGUAAUUCGUUACGUAAAGCUCUAUCAGCAGGGAAGAAACACUGACCUUACGGUCAGCAGACGGUACCUGAGUAAGAAGCCCCGGCUAACUACGUGCCAGCAGCCGCGGUAAUACGUAGGGGGCAAGCGUUAUCCGGAUUUACUGGGUGUAAAGGGAGCGGAGACGGUGCGCCAAGUCUGGAGUGAAAUGCCGCAGCUUAACUGCGGAACUGCUUUUGAAACUGGCGAACUAGAGUGCGGGAGGGGUAAGCGGAAUUCCUAGUGUAGCGGUGAAAUGCGUAGAUAUUAGGAGGAACACCGGUGGCGAAGGCGGCUUACUGGACCGUAACUGACGUUGAGGCUCGAAAGCGUGGGGAGCAAACAGGAUUAGAUACCCUUGUAGUC